CCCUGGUAUAAUAAAUUAUAUAGGAUCAAUUUACUUUUAAAAAAAUUAAAAAUUUUGGCGGUUAAUAAUUAAUUUAGAGGAGCUUGUUUGAACUAAGAUUUUACUCUUUAAAUUUUAAUAUUAAGUAGUUUAUUCAUCUCUGUUAUUAAAGGAGUUAUUGAAAUGAUAUAUAAUAUAUAUAUAUAAUAUUUCAGGUCAAGAUGUAGCAAUUUAAUAUAAAAAAUUAGCUACAAUUAUGUAAUACUUUGGAGUAUUUAUGAAUUUUAAUUAUAUAAUAAAUUGAAUUUAGUUGUAAUAGUAGUUAAAAUACUAUUUUGAUUUAAAGGUUACUAAUGU
rnacentral:rRNA from 1 species